rnacentral:tRNA from 1 species
GUGGAUGUAGCUCAGUUGGUCAGAGCACCAGAUUGUGGCUCUGGGGGUCGUGGGUUCGAGUCCCAUCAUCCACC